rnacentral:rRNA from 1 species
UACGGAGGGUGCAAGCGUUGUCCGGAUUUAUUGGGUUUAAAGGGUGCGUAGGUGGCGUGGUAAGUCGGGUGUGAAAUUUCGGAGCUUAACUCCGAAACUGCAUUCGAUACUGCUGUGCUUGAGGACUGGAGGGGGGACUGGAAUUCUCGGUGUAGCAGUGAAAUGCGUAGAUAUCGAGAGGAACACCAGUGGCGAAGGCGAGUCCCUGGACAGGUCCUGACGCUGAGGCACGAAAGCUAGGGGAGCAAACAGG